rnacentral:lncRNA from 1 species
UGAACAAGCGGCGGACCGGCUUUGAGAAGCACUGAUCUAGACCCUCCUUGAUUGGUGUUUGUCUACCAUUACUUCAAAAAGAUCCUACGCUAGAACCUCAGGUUACGAACACCAGAGUUACAAACUGACCAGUCAACAACACACGUCAUUUGGAACCGGAAAUCUGCAUUCAGGCAGCAGUAGAGACAAAAAAUAUUAAUAAAUACCACAUAUUACUGUGUUAAAUGUAAACUACUAAAAAAAGAAAGGGAAAGUUUAAAAAAAGAUUUGACAAGGUAAGAAAACUGUUUCUAUGCUUGCUUCAUUUAAAUUAAGAUGGUUAAAAGCAACAUUUUUCUUCUCCAUAGCAAAGUUUCAAAGCUGUAUUAAGUCAAUGUUCAGUUGUAAACUUUUGAAAGACCAAUCAUAAUAUUUUAUUCAGAGUUACGAACAUUUCAGAGUUAUGAACCUUCAUUCCCGACGUAUUUGUAACUUACGUUCUACUGUAUUUUCUUCCCUUUUAGUAUGUCUCCUUUCAACAGCAUCUCUCAUCUUCUGCAUCUUCAUCCUCCUCAAGAAUGUGAUAUUCAUGGCCCAUCAGCUAGAAGACUGCAAAUGAUGUACAGGGGCUACAAGCAAAAGCAGACUGGGAUUGGUAAAAACUGGGCUCCAAUGGGGUGAAGUGUUAAGAAGCUCUGACCGACACACAGAUGAAGAUUAAACAGUGAAUUUCUCAUUCAAAUCAAUGGAGUAAGAACACUGUAUGGUCCUGAGUCAUCAAUUAACAAACAAUGUUAUUACCUAAUAAAGCUAAUGCUGAUUAGACCA